rnacentral:rRNA from 1 species
AGCGAACGCUGGCGGCGUACCUAACACAUGCAAGUCGAACGCUCCGCAAGGGGGAGUGGCGCACGGGUGAGUAACACGUGGGAACCUACCUUCUGGUACGGAACAACCAAGGGAAACUUUGGCUAAGACCGUAUACGACCUCCGGGUGAAAGAUUGAUCGCCGGAAGAGGGGCCCGCGUCCGAUUAGGUAGUUGGUGAGGUAACGGCUCACCAAGCCUUCGAUCGGUAGCUGGUCUGAGAGGAUGACCAGCCACACUGGGACUGAGACACGGCCCAGACUCCUACGGGAGGCAGCAGUGGGGAAUAUUGGACAAUGGGGGCAACCCUGAUCCAGCAAUGCCGCGUGAGUGAUGAAGGCC